UCAGGAAAGCUGAGUCAGCCAUCUUGAAUUUGCCUUGAUGCGGGGAUGUUUGGGCCGCCCGUGUGGAUGUGGAACACAGUUUAAUUUGUUUUAAUUUGUUUGCAAUGCGCACUUUUAUGCUUCCCGCUUGAAACCACCACCACCUCCGUUUUUAUCAUUAGUCUUAUUGCCCUCGUUUUCUUAAGCGCCAUCUUAUCAUCACCUCUGAUUUGCGGGUUUCCUGGAUGAACUACAUUUCCCAUAAUGCAUGUUUGCCCGGGACAUUGACGGUGGAGGAAGGUCCAUGAGUUUUCGCUGUUCGCCGGUAAUGCAAGCUCAAGUGUGUGGUUGUGAGAUCAUCUCGAAAUCCUUUUAACAGUUCAGAUAUCGGACUACAAAGAGUGCUACAGAGAGCCAGCGUUUCACCAUCAGACAGGUGCUAAUAGGCUGAAGUUGGCCCAAUGGAGUGGAAGUGCAAGUUGUGUUCUGCAACUUCAAAUACCCGGGGACAAUUAUUUUGGCACUAUACUGUACUGCAUAG